CUUCUUCCCCGAUUCAUUUCGUCCCGAGCUUACCAGCGACCGACGAUUUCGCCUCUUCUCUCGGUGUCGCUGGUGAGGAGUCGAUCUGGAGCAUUGAGGAGGGAAGGCAAGCUACAAGCGUUCCUCUUCUUCCUCUCCCCCUCGAUUUCUCCUUGCAGACUACCGACGCUGAUGGAGGGCGGUUCUGCUUCGAGAAUCUCAGUCUCACCGCGUCACUCGAGCGUCGUCAGAGGACGGUGGCUGGAAUCUUGAAGGGCACGGUGGAGCUAGGGCACGACGGAGCUAGGGCAUAGCGGGGAGGAGUUGAUUUGUGUCAUCCUCGGCUGAUCGAGCCCUUUCUCUUCUCCUAUACGAUCUGCUCACUAGAGGGAAUUUCGGAUUAUUAUCAGCUGAAACGCAGCAUGCGACACCAACUGUAGGCGUCCGAUUGAGGAGAAGGCAUUGGAUCAGCUAGUGAUGGUUUUUCUUGAGCAGAUCCUUAUCUUCUUCAUUCUUGCGUCAUAUUGAGGUUUUGGUUUCAGAUCUGGGUUUGUUUGAGGAAUUCUUGGUGGUUGUGUGCAUAGGUUAGUAGAGGGCUGUUGAGCUAUUGGAUUUGUUGCCUCCCUCAAGGAUUUUGUUUCAAGGCGAGCGUCUCGACGGGGGAUUGGUUUAUUUGAUACGGUCGAUAGAUAAAGGCGGGUAUUUCUUCCUUG